CAGUAGCUCAGUGGAUAGAGCAAUGGCCUCCGGAGCCGUGUGCGUAGGUUCGAUUCCUAUCUGGUGC
rnacentral:tRNA from 1 species